UUUAUAGCCUAAAUUCAUUAAGGGUUAUUUUUGGAGAAAAUUGGAGAGAACAUGUCUCUCAUUUUCUCUCUAGGAGGCCGGCCCCCUUGGAGGGAUUAGCUAGCAAUCCCACUCCUCCAAGGUCACUCAUUUCUUCUCCAAUCUAACCUUGGUGUGGAGACUUAGAGGUUCUCUAUUUUGAGAACUUGGAGAAACCUUUUCAUCCAUCCAAAUCCAUAGAUUUAAGAUGCAAGGAAUGAAGGCCCUCUCUUUGGGUGAUUAGCCUUUGCUUAUGCAAAGAGGAAUCUACAAAGGUAUAAAUUUCUCAACUCAUUUUGAUUUGUGUUGAGUCUUGGUUCACCAAUCUACUAGGCUUUGAAUUUCAUGGUUAAUGUUUUGUUUUUAAGUGCAUGCAAGCAUGAUUCCGCCUUUAAUUGUUAAUUGCAUGCUAAUAAAUGUUGCUUAAAUGAACAUGUUUUUCACAAAAUCAUCCUUCAGUGCGAACUCGAUACAAUCCUAUAAUAUACUCGGCCAUAAAUAGCAGUGUCGAUGAAGCAACCAUCGCAUCUUUCGUCUGGCCUGAUAAGCCCUGUAAAUUCCUUCAUGGACCUCUGUGAUUACUUGAGCAGCCUCAUGCGGGCCGAGGCAUAACAAUAACAGGCUGUCCUUACCGUUUCAGUACAAUUCAUUUUGGUACGUUACAUAGUUCGUGGUGUGAACCCUUAUCUUCUGGUCGUGUUUGCCAUUGGGAUUGUCAAAAUACUGUAUAAUUGACUUUCUCCAGUCAUCUGGCAUUGCCUCGACUGCAUAAACCUCUAUAGGGUCCUUUCGCUCCAACAAUGAAGGUAAAGACAUGACUCAUGUACAGAUUACGCAAUCUCAUUGAAGAACUUGUUGAUUAACCA
rnacentral:lncRNA from 1 species